rnacentral:rRNA from 1 species
GACGAACGCUGGCGGCGUGCUUAACACAUGCAAGUCGAACGGAAAGGCCCUGCUUUUGUGGGGUGCUUGAGUGCCGAACGGGGGAGUAACACGUGAGUAACCUGCCCUUGACUUUGGGAUAACUUCAGGAAACUGGGGCUAAUACCGGGUAGAAGCUCCUGCGCCAUGGGGGGGGUUGGAAAGUUUCGGCGGUUGGGGAUGGACUCGCGGCUUAUCAGCUUGUUGGUGGGGUAGUGGCUUACAAAGCCUUUGACGGGUAGCCGGCCUGGGAGGGUGACCGGCCACAUUGGGACUGAGAUACGGCCCAGACUCCUACGGGAGGCAGCAGUGGAGAAUAUUGCACAAUGGGCGGAAGCCUGAUGCAGCAACGCCGCGUGCGGGAUGACGGCCUUCGGGUUGUAAACCGCUUUCGCCUGUGACGAAGCGUGAGUGACGGUAAUGGGUAAAGAAGCACCGGCUAACUACGUG